rnacentral:rRNA from 1 species
CCUACGGGAGGCAGCAGUGGGGAAUAUUGGACAAUGGGCGCAAGCCUGAUCCAGCAAUACCGCGUGAGUGAUGAAGGUCUUCGGAUUGUAAAGCUCUUUUAGUAGGGAAGAUAAUGACGGUACCUACAGAAAAAGCACCGGCAAACUUCGUGCCAGCAGCCGCGGUAAUACGAAGGGUGCUAGCGUUGUUCGGAAUCACUGGGCGUAAAGCGUACGUAGGCGGUUUGGUAAGUCGAUUGUGAAAUCCCCGAGCUUAACUCGGGAAUUGCAACCGAAACUGCCUUGCUAGAGUAUGGUGGGGGAUAGUGGAAUUCCUAGUGUAGGGGUGAAAUCCGUAGAUAUUAGGAGGAAUACCGGUGGCGAAAGCGACUAUCUACGCCAUUACUGACGCUAAGGUACGAAAGCGUGGGGAGCAAACAGGAUUAGAUACCCUGGUAGUCCACGCAGUAAACGAUGGGUGCUAGUUGUCGGGCUCUUAGAGUUCGGUGGCGAAGCUAACGCGUUAAGCACCCCGCCUGGGGAAUACGGCCGCAAGGCUAAAACUCAAAGGAAUUGACGG